AUCAACUAAUUCACUGAAUAUAAUAUUCACUGGAGGGAGGGAGGCUUAUCAUUAAGUGGGUGCUCUGGCCAAGUCAGGGUCUGCUGAAAAAACAAAGUAAACUGACACUGAGGUCAGAGCAGGGCCAGACAAGAGACAACUGUGACCUAAAACAGUGUCAGGAACGUCACCAAAGGACAACAGUGCGGAGAAACCUAGAAGAAUUGCCACUUGACAAUUCACAACACAGAACUGAGACGUUCCGGGCUGUGCCAAAGUUCCGGGCACAUCUUUCCUUGCAGGAAGCCAAAGCUCCCUACAUAGGCCUGUCGGUUCCAGAACGCCUCAGGAAGGCAGGAAAUGGCUCAGAGGCAGGACCACGACCAUCUACGAUGUGAGAUCUCUGGCCUCUGGGUCUCCUGACUGCUAGGUCAGCACUCCAGCAGGCUCCUUGGGUGAGCCAGACCCCCAUCUACCAUGCUAUGGGACUGGUUUCACUUUCUAUCCUCAGAACUGUCUUCACUGACACCAAGAAGCAAACGACAGAGGGGUGGGUCUUCAGGAGACCCAGAAUAAAGAGAGCAAGUAGAGAGUUCAAACAUCCCUGAUACAGUUGAGCAGAAAAGACUCUUCAGAAGCUCCACCUUAUCAAAGAAGGCCUAACACUGACAAGAAACAAUCUUGCCCAUCAGAUCUGUGGCCCCAACUAGCUGACCACAGGUCCUUUCCAUGGCAGCCAGGUUUCCGAGCUGUCCCUCCUCAAAUGUUCCAACACACAGGAAGGAAUCGUUGGGGUUGAUUCUCUUCGUGAUACUGCCUGGCCUUCUAUAAACAUCCAAUUUCACUUCCUCCAGAGACUAAGGAAGAACGAAAAGAGGAGAAGGACUCAGAUGAGACUUACAUUAAAAGAAGAAAUGGAUAACCUGGCUUCACCACUUUCGAAACACUCCGUUCAUCAGUAAACAGCAACCUCUUCUUCUUAGAGACUUCCCCGCCAUCCGCGACAGCCUCGUCUCUACGGCCUGACUCCGAUCCUGCACCUGGCUAUGCACGACAACAGGCCGGUGUUUAAGCCCUCCAGCUGCUGUACCAGAGAGAGAAGGAGAGAGAGAAUCCCAAGCAGGCUCUGCGCUGUCAACACAAAGUCCGAUGCGGGGCUCGAACCCACGAACCGUGAAAUCGUGACCUGAGCUGACGUCAGACGCUCAACCGACUGAGCCACCCAGUGUGGCGCCAGGCCGCUCUCUGCCGCUGCCCUGCCCUGGAAACACACGCAGCCUAAGCACCAUUCCUGCCUCUGCUCUGGGCCUCGGGACUUUUCUUCUUCUUGAAUGAGUGUGCUCCCGCCCCCCAGCUGGUGCUCCACGCCAUCCCCCAGGUCUCAACAACAUACCCCCACCAGGACCACAGGAGCCAGAGCUGGUCGUGCCUGGUGGUCCUCAGGACUGAGAGGCCCUGACCUCCGUGGGGGCAGGAGCCGGCCAGCAUGACCAGUCGGGACUCCCAGGUUAAGAAUCCAGUUGAGCCUCCUGGUCCUCCUCAAUCUGCUCUGCCCUUCGUCUCCCACCCCCAAAUCCCUGCCGACCUCCAGCCCUGAAGAAGCCGGAGAACCUCUGCUUCCCCCACCUCCCCGUCCGCCUUGUCCUACUUCAGUAGUUUGGCUCCUCCGAGCCCUCUUCUUGAUUCAACCUUGCUUGGCCUGUGAAGACUUGAACAAACACGGACGUGGUUGCUGGCAGCUCGUGGCCGCAUCCCUAGUAGGACCCUAGCCUCCCUUAAAGUGCCUGCCUGCCAAACUCCCGGCUGUCUAAAGGAUUGGCUGCUGAGUCCAGCCAACGCCUGAAGAUCGGGCCCCUGUCUCCCAGCUUCUGUGAGAGGGCAGGAGCUUAACUUUGAGAAGUGUCAGCAAAGCCAGAUGGGUCUCAUAUGGGCCAGCGUCCCUUCCUGCUUUUUGUCAUCUUUCACUUCUGAUUAUAGAGCCCCCCACUCAUUCCCUUCCCUAGUCCCUCAUUCUCCCUGUGAAAUACCCCAUCACCUCUGUAAUAAUCCCAGUCGGGUGCCUGCUCACGAUGAACCCUUUCCCCUACGGCACUGCAAUACUAUGUUACUGACUGAAAUCUGUCUGGAUUACUUUAAGUAGUGUCUGCUUUUGUUUAUUUUCAUCAGGGGAGGUGUGCAGGAUCAGCCUUUUAAUUUUUUUUUUUUUAAUAUUUAUUUUUGAGAGAGAGGCAGGGUGCAAGCAGGGGGGUGGGGGAGGGGCAGAGAGCGAGUUAGACACAGACUCCAAAGCGGGCUCCAGGCUCCGCGCUGUCAGCACAGAGCCCGACGUGGGGCUCAAACCCAAGAACCGUGAGAUCAUGACCUGAGCCGAAGUCGGUCGCUCAACUGACUGAACCACCCAGGUGCCCCAACAGCCUUUGAAAUUAAAUUAUUUUCAGGAUCAGCUUUUUAAGUAAGCAUCCCAGGGAUGUUUGCGUAUAGAGGUCCAAAGGCUGUAUUUUGAGAAAUCGUGUUUCCCUGUGGAGAUCUUUUCUCUGGCAGCCCUUUUGAAUGGGGGCUAUGUUUUCUCAGAUACUGCAUUGCCAAUAGUCCAUCCAGCUUUAAUUCCAGUGAGAACGUUCCGGAGAUGAAACUAAGAAUCAACUCCAGGCGCUUCUCCAGUCACCUCUGGGGAUGAGUGUAUGUCGUCAGCAUCCAGCGCCUCACCUGCUGCCCAGCUAGAAUGACACCUUUCAGGGUUUCUGACUUAGAAACACGACCACCAGGUCCUGGAAACCCACGAACCAUCGUUCACAGAUUCCCUCGACAGCAGAAUUCUGCCGAUAAAGCGUACCUGUGUGAAAUUUGGAAGGCGGAGGUGGAAGGAGGUGGAAGCCAUGCUUUUCUCCUCUGUAGCAGCAGACAUGCAGGCUGAAUGUUGGAGUCCAUACUCCCCACCAGUCAGGCUUGGGGCCAUGGGGCUGUAGUGACCCCGGCAGUGGCUUCCCGAAGUUUCCUGACCGAGUGGCAGCAGCAACUUUGAAUCUAUGGAAAGCAACUGUGGUAAAGUAACCUGAGAGCUAGUGGUGCGAUUCCCCCCUGGCCCUGACCUUCACCACCGCGAGCCCCACCAGUGAUCACUCACUCUGGAGGCACCCAGCCAUCAUGCUGUGAGGACACUCAGUCAAACAGCAUGUGGGCAGGCUCAUAUGGCAGGGAUCUGAGGCCUCCCUCCAACCCCCUUGACAGCCAUGUUAAGUGAGUGAACCACCUUGGAAGUGGACCCUUCCGACUCAGUCGAGCCUUCAGAUGACUGCAGCCCUGUGGUAUCUUGAGAAUCUCACAAAAGACCCAGGGGCAGAAGUGCCCAAGCUAUUCCCGAAAUUUUGCCUCAAAACUUUUGAGGAAUGGGGCGCCUGGGUGGCUCAGUUGGUUGAGCGUCUGACUUUGGCUCAGGUCAUGGUCUCACCAUUCAUGGCUCCGGGCCCCGCAUUGGGCUCUGUGCUGACAGCUCAGAGCCUGGAGCCUGCUUCAGAUUCUGUGUCUCCCUCUCUCUCUGCCCGCACGCUCUGUCUCUCUCUCUCCCUCUCUCUCAAAAAUAAACAUUAAAAAAAUUAAAAGAAAUACGGCAAGGUAGCAGUUGAGACUGAUACGUACUGUGCAAAUUUGAGGUCGUGUUAUAGAAACAACAUUUUCUAAGCUUCACUUUAUGAACCACAUUUGAGCUAAUGGAAAUAUUCCAAAAUAGGAGAAUGGAGUUGCCUGGAAUCCCGGCCCACACUUCGGGAAGCCCAACUAUGCCCAGAUGGGUCUUCCUGGUUUCUCGUCAGCUCUGUCUCUGUGUCCACCUCUCUUCUUCAAAAAGUCACCACCGGCCCCCGCUCCACCCAGCUCAUGAAGGAGUUUGAGCUGGUAUGAGGAGUUUCUGCCCUUGUGACCUAAGAGUGACUAAAGGGCCUAGUACUGCGCCUGGCUCAAAGCAGGUGCUCACCAAACAGGAGCGGCCACCAUCCUCAUCGUUGUAAUUAUUGAUUCUUUGAUGGUGACCAUGGCUUAGACGUCUCUGUAGCCCUGCACCCUGCAGCAGGGCAGUAUAACCGUCAGCAGGCUUUGGAGUUAACAGGCCUGGAUUAAACCCCUACCUGGCAGUUUUGGACUUGCGGCCUUGGGCACCUGAACAGGGUACCUACAUCCUUUAAGCCCUGUCCCCUUAUCUGCCAGAUGGGGAUGAUAAAGUAUGUUUUCACGGACUG